GGCCAGCUUAGUGAAAAGUUUAUGGACUUUCUGGGGAGCCUCUGCUACAUUUGUUCAGCUUACACUGAUUUUUUUUCACUGAUUCUUUGGAACCAGGUGAAAAUCUUCUUGAGCAAACAGAAGAAAGGAGAGAAGGACACUGAAUAUGUAAAAUCUGGUACAGACACCUGCAAAAACCAAAGCAGCUGUUUGCUGUGUUGCACUGGCAGGAGUGCUGUGCAGAGCAGGAGAGUGAUUGCCUCACAAAUUUUUGGGGUAUCAGAGGAAAUUUCUAGACCUGCUGGAAUCAGGAUUGGGGCAGAUCCAUCUUGGUGGCUUUCCCCGGGGAACUCAAAAAGGCAAAGACAGGCUGCAACCAGGCCUGAAUGGACCCAUUCUCAGCCAGCUGUGAACACUUGAGGCCAGUCAUAACCUUGAUUUCAGAGCGACCCUCAGUGAUGAAAUAGUUCUGGUGCUGAACAGGGAGCUCAGGCACAGCUCGGACACCUCCCUUUUCUUCAGACAAGCUUUCAUGCUCCUGCACUUGGAGGAGGAUAAAAUUCCCAGUGUGAAGUACUGAAGAGGUUUCCUUUUCCACGGAUUCACAAUGAAAUGUGGUUGGGUUUGUUUUAGUUUUGUUUUUUAAGUUCCUUUCUUCUCACCUCCCAGAUGUUUCCAAUUGAUGAUCUUCUCAUGUCUUUAAAUUUAACUUGUUCCUAUUUAAUUCUUUACAUAUUCUUUGUUAUUUAACAUUUUUGCUAAGACAUGUAGUACAUGUACUGAAAUCCAAGAGGAGCAGUUCUUUGGAUGGAGGAAGUAUUUUUCCCCAGUGAGAUUCUCCCAUCCCUGCCAUACAGGUGUGAAUAGUUUAAUUGCCUUUUUUUGUUUGGUUGCUCAGAUGGGGGUUUUUUGUUUGUUUUGUUUCGUCUUUGGAAGGAGGCAGGGGAGCAGGUAAGGUAGUUGUAAAGCCACAAGACUUAAUUUUAUAUUUUGCUGUUCUGUGACUUUUCCAAGGCUUGUGAGGUACUGAAGAGCUGUGUGAUGGGAAAAAUUACCAAAAGCCUUUUUAUUCAUAUCAGCAUGUUCUGCACGGGCUGUCUUUCCAUUGUGACAUCCCCUCUUCUGGCCUUGCCUCACUCGUCUACACCACCUGUCACUACAGUGGGCAGUGCUGCAAACUGCAAAUCCCUGGAGGAGAUGGAAUCCCUCUUAUUUGGAAGAAGGCUUCUAUUUUCUGGUCUUGCAGUGAGUUUGGAAAUAUCUUGUUGCUUUUGUCAUUGGCUGCUUUGUGACACCUCAGUGUGGAUUUCCCAACUCGUUGGCAGUGCAUCGCUGCUUUCCCAGCUGUCCUGACUGACAGAUUAGGUUGGGAUUUGCACUUGCAGUGUCUGAGCCAGCGAGGGUGGUAUUUGUAUGCACGAUGGAAAUCUUUUCUUCUUUCUUGUGACAUGUCCGCACAGAGCGCGUGCUUCACGUGGUCGUGCUCGUGUGCAGGCAGCGUGUGCCGUGACUGACUGCAGGUGAUGCUCCUCGGGACAUCUGUCCCUGGGCUGCGCUCCCCGUGCUGCUGCCCAUCCCUUCUGCAGCGGAGCAACAGUGCCAACUGCUGGCUGCUGCGCCUGGCCUGCCAUCCCCUAAGCUUCAUUCUGAGCCCAGUGCUGCCUAAAACACAUCAGUGUCCCUCUGCUGACCGUCUGGCUACUUAGCAAUAAUAUCUCAGUUCGUUAGUCCUUUUUUCCAUACCGAAAUAAUAUUCUGUUGAGCUCAGGUAAACCUCAGGUUACCUUUGCUGGCGACAUUUCUAAUUGUUUCAUGUUGGUUUAAAGCUGUGUCUCUCCUUAUCUCCCAGGGCUGGCUGCUCAAAGAGGGGAGGAGGUUUCUGCUCUGAGUAGUGCAGUGCCAUGAACUGCUGCCUGAAAUCAUUCAGCUGUGCCAGCAAUUUGCCAGCUAUGUAUUUGGGACACUCUUAUUGUUAUAACUACAAUGGGCUGGGCUCUGGGGAAAACAAGAUGGUGAUUUAUGUAUUUCUGCACAGCACUUCUAGUCAGUAAAGCAAAAAAAAAAGAAAAAAAAGGGGAGGGUAAGAAAAAUGAGAUAAUAACUGCUGUACAUAUAAGAGUAGUUUUAUUCAAAUUUCAGUGAAAUGUUUUAAUAGAAAAAAAAUAGUUUGAAUUUGUGUUUUGUUUUUCUUUUCCCGAGAGGAAUAGCAAACGGAAAAGACAAGUUUGUUUCUUUAAAUGUUUCCUGGGAGAAGGGGGUUACAAUGUCUGCAGGAGGUGACAGUAGAGAGGACACAUAUAUGGGGAGUAGGAAACUAGGGAAGAAAAAAAGAAUAAAAGGAAACAAUUACGAGAGCUUUUCAGAAGAAGGAGAAAGUGAAUGUGUAAAGCAAUAAACCUGGCAGAGAUGAACAGGGGAAUUUUGCAGAGGAAAAAAAAACGGAGGGAUAGGAGGCAGCCAAACAAACUAAGAGUUUGAUGAGUCAGGGUUUCUGUGGGUUUCUUGCAUCUCCCAAAAGGCCAUUUUUUUACUUCCUCUCAGCCACAAAUGUUCUUCAUUAUUUUUGGAACAGAACACGAAAGGAAAACUAAUAAAUCAGCUAUUCUUAAACAUAUGUGACAAGUCCAGGCUGAGGCACAGGUGGACCACAACCACAGGCGGUCUCUUAAAUCAAAGUCACAGAACUUUGGAUAGCCAGCAGGUUUAGCACUGCUUCCAGCCCUCUGUUACUCUUUCACUCAUGUAGUGUUUUGGGGUUUGGAUAGAGAAAUCUAAACCAGGCAAAAAGAAUGAACAAAUAAAUAAAUAAAUAGAAACAGCAUUUUGAUGCUGCCUUGAUAGACAGGACCAUCAAAACUCCUCCUGUGCAACUGAAACCUCAGUAAAGAAUUCCUUCUUCUUAUCUAAUCCAAACCCACAUCUUUCAGUAUGUACUUGCCUGUUACAAUGACAAUACCUUGACUUUUUAUUACUGGUGUAAAUACUUAAGCUGAAUGUAAUGCCAUUAUUUACUAAUUUUUUUUUAAUUAAACAAAAUAGAUUUUUUUUCCAGGAGAUGUGGUUGCAAUUUUCAAGAGUCUUGUUCUUACCAUGACCUCAUUUGUUUUACUUUCACACAGACAGGUAUUCUUCUGAAACAGUUUAUUUCUCUGAAUAAAGGGAGCGGGCUCCAUGCUUUCUUAUCCAUGGCAGGCCACUGAGAUAAUCAGUCUCUUACUGAAAAUAAAUUGUUAUGUGUAUAAUAUAUGAUUAUGUUAUUAGGGGAAACUAAUGGGAGCAGGGAUGAAAAAGCUGGGCAGAGCUGAUGGAGAGAGAAGGGUGCAAAGGAGUGUAGCUCUGCACACAGAGGUGGGAUGUGAGGCUGGGAAAGGCAGAGGGCUGUCACUUCCUGUACCAGCCAUGGGUUUUCCCUACACUGGGGUGGGAUCCCUUGGGGACAGGUGAGGUGGCUGUGUCUGCUGUCCCUACAGGUGAGCAGGGGCAGUGGUGUUGGGAGCCACGAUGCCGCUAGAUGUCCCUUGUCACCCGAGUGAGGCAGGCAGCUCAUCCCCAUCUCUGCACUUCAGCAUGUGUGAUGUAGUGUUAUAAAGAAACCUGCUCUCUAAGUGUUAAAUAUGGAGAAAAGUUGAGCCUGUAUUUAAAAAAUAAGUCUUGUAUCAGCCUGUCAUGGAUAGCAAGGAGAAAGCUACUUCCUUAGCCACUUUAAUUUUUAUUGGAAGAUAGGGAGGAUUUUGUUUUGAAGAGGUAUUUAUGGGGUAGUUCAAUAUUUCCUGGGGGAGAAGUCAUGCUAGGAAGAGCUAGUUUGGUGACCUAACACUAUGGUUUCAGCUAACCUUUCCCUGCUGACUCAGGCUUGUCUGGUGCGAGGUGGGGGCCUGGCAGCCUGUACCAGCUGAGCUGGUGGUGGGGAAUAUACCUGUGGGACCUGUGGGACAGUGACCCUGUCACUUUAGGCAUGCUUAUGUUGCAAAAGGUGGGUAAAAGGGUCACUUCUGUGAAGAAUUAAGCACUUCCACCUCACUGGUGCAGCCAUACAGCCAAAGGCUCAAUGUGCCCCUGCAGAGGGUGGAAAGGUGGUGGAAAAGGAAGCAGCUGCUGAGGGAGGUGGACUGGUGUAGUCAUGUAGAGUGAAGGGCAGGAGUGUCUAAAGGGGUCACAGGGAAACCUUCCAAACCUGCUUACACCUGGCCCCUCAAAAAUCUCUUCUCACACUUCCCAGCCCCUGUGUCACUCAGCACACACAGAACUCACAGUGCCCAGACACAUGGCUUGUGUUUGUCCUUCCAACCAGCUGUGCUGGUUCUGCCUUGCCAGUGGUGUUUGUGCCUCUCUGCACCAGUUUGACGGCUGGGUUUGAAGAGUGGCCUCCAACAACAGGAGAGUGCUGAUCUCUUAGCAGUCCUUUAAGAGUUAAUGCCUCCCUGUGCCCUAGGCAGGUGGCCAUGUUUUCUCCACAGUGGAAGCUGUGUUUCCAUAUGUCCCUACCUCCUGUGGCUGGCACCUUGGCGUGGGCAUCUGUGCCGCUCUGCAUGCCUGUGCCCUUGUGAAGGCUGCUCUGAGCCUGUGAUGGGCAGCUCCUGCAGCACCCUGUGUGCCCUCUGCACACACCAUGGCUGUGUGAGCAGUGGGCAGGGAUGCCCUAAACUGCCCUAAAAGCAGCUAUUGGGCUUUACCUGCCCAGACAGUGUUAUGGGCUUUGCUCCAAGGUAAGGAAUAAGUGACUGACUGUCACCCAUUUCUCAGGGCUGCUGCCGUGCGUGGCUGCACGAACCAAGCUGUUGAGUAUUCAGUCAUAUCUGCCUGCCUGAAUGACUGAAAUUAAACAUUUGCUGCUUUCUACUUCAUUUAAACCCCUGGGAGCCUGUAGGGCUCCUCCUCCUCAUGCACCAAGGUAUCCAUGUGUGCCACUUAACAAUCAGGGGCUUCUUCAUCAAUAAUGUCUGAGCAAAGCUCUUGAUAACAGAGGGACUACACACAGAUUAUUGUGAUCAUAAUUUGGCCAACGUAGCCUUUAUUACUAAUGGUGAUGUUGGAGAUGGAAAACCCAGCUUGAUUCUCAGAUCCCUGCUGAAAAGUAAUAAAAUAAAGAGGAACAAAAUCUGUGUGUGAAUUUGCUACCAAACCUUUGAAAAACACAAAAGUGGAACCCUGCCAAUGCUUUUGCUGGCAAUUUUUCAUUUUGAGGUAUGAUUAGAAGUGGAAGUGCAUUUUUUGUCUCUGACAUUAGUAUCAUGUUGCUGUGUACAAAUUAUUAAAGGGCUUACAAUCAUUUGACAUUUGUUGUAUUGUGAUUAUUGUGUGCCCCUCUUACACUUACAGAAUGAGUAUUUUUUAAUAUCAUCUGAUAAUAGAGUAAUUAGGAAAUAACUUCAGCUAUCAUAAGAAAAAGGUGUCUAUUUUAUUAACACAAAGAAGAGACAAAGGAAGCACUUCAAUGGAAGUGCUCUGUUAAAAAUGGAGCCAUGUUUCUUUUUGCUUUGUUGAGAAGAUAGAUGAAGGCAGGCUGGCUUUGUGUAGUCUUUUUUUCAUCCCUGGGCAAUGGCAGAACUCGCAGCUAAAUUCUGUUGUCAGAAAAUUCUAUGAUGGUAGCUGAGAAUGAUAUAAUAUCAUGCAUACUCAUUUCAACAACAAGAAAAAAAAUCCUAACCUGUAGCUUGGAUUUUGAAUAUCAGAAAGAGCCUUCACUACCAAGAAAUGAGCCUUCAGUACUAAGAAUAUUGAAAAAGCAACUAAAAUUUUUUAAACAUAAGAAGAGCCAUUUGAUAUAACCAGUAUCAAAUUAAAAAGGAAUGUAAAUGUAAUUUUAAAUUAUUUAUUUCACUCUCUCUCUUUUUUUCGUGUUAUUAUAUCCUUGGCUGUAGUUCAGAAUGACAUGCUAAUUAUGAAUAUAAGAAAACCUAACUUUUUAUUAUGCUAAUUAAACUGUGUGUCACAUAGACAUUUGGGGAGAAUUUCCCAUGCUUUCUAGUGUGAAUGGAAGGAAAGAGCAGCAGUGCUCACUUAAAACUGGAAUUUUUUUCCUAGUACCUUGCAAAAAGGCAUCAUUGUAUUUUGAUUAAUCCAUGCUUGGUCCACGUCGGAUGUUUCUAUGGAAACAGAAUUUUUUUCCUUGAUGGAAAUUGUUAGGCUCAGGAAAGCUCCUCACUGCACAAAAUCAUUUGAGCUCCUGAAGAACUACUUGUUUCAAAUUUAAUGUGCAUAAACAGAACUCCCAGAUUCCUCCUUAGUGUUAUUGUUGUCAAUGUUAAUACAGAACUGUUUUCUUAAUGAUACACAGUGGUGCCUUUUCACUCCACAAGAAAAUAGGGUGAGAGUGGUAUUAUUUCCAUUGCAAAACAGCACUUUUCCUAGUCCAGAAAGAAUUAGCCUGCAAACCAUCCAAAAUUGAAUUUUAUUAAUUCUGAUGUGUAUAUAUUAUUUAGUUCUGGAUCUAAAUAUUUUGGCUUGAUGGCUGUUAAAAUGUAAUUAAUUUUGUUUUGCAGAUUGGCAGUAAUUUACACAUAUUCUUCUUGUGUGCCUUAAUUUUGGAUGUGGAGUUUUGUUGGGGUUUGAUUUGUUUUGGUUUUAGUUUUUUCCUCCCAAAGAAAAUACACUCUCUUACUGGAUGCCACUGUGAUAUUUGGAAUACCUUUUGAAAAUAAACAACAGAGGGAGCAUUUGUGUGUUAUUAUUAAUGUAACCAAAUGGUUGAAACAUGACUCUCAUUUUUCCCAUCAUUUCUGUACAGCAUAUUUAUUGUGUAAAAUUAUAGGAUUUCUUGACCAUUAAAAUAUCUUGGUUUGGAGAGUUUCAGUUUUAAAAAAGUCCAAUCUAGAAUUUAGUCGACAGUGCAAAUAGCUAUUUUAAAUUGAUUGUCCGGUUUAUAUUUUUUUGUUUCAUCUCUGUUCAUCAUGGCAAGGAAUCUCCCAAAUGGAAAAAGGAAAAUCACUUUGAAAGCAACCACACUUUUCAAACUUCUUCCAGAGACAUACCGAAAGCAGAAAUUAAAUGUCAGCCAGAGAAAGCCUCAGUAUUUCUUGGUACCUCUUUUAUGUGCUCACUCUUAGAAUGUGAAUAACAAGGAUGAUGGUGAUGUGCACAGCAUUAGAAUGUGGAUGAUUAUGAUAAUAAAAACAAUAAUGAUACAAA